ensembl:rRNA 5S_rRNA 5S ribosomal RNA
GUCUAUAGCCAUGCCGCCCUGAACACGCCCAAUCUCUUCUGACCUCGGAAGCUAAGCAGAGUCAGGCCUGGUUAGUACUUGGAUUGGAGACCACCUAGAAAGAUUGAUUGGUGUUGUAGGUG